CCAUUCCCGUCAUAUUUUUUUAUUUGCUUAUACGGUUUCUAUUAAUUUAUAGAGUAAACUUUCCCAAGGGACCACUAUUGUUUGAAGCCUGCAACUAUUGAAAAACAGCAAAAACUGUGCGAAGCUUCAUUUCACACCACUUUCCCCAUCAAGUUUUUCUUUGGUGAAAAUGCGUUUGACCCCGCCCUCCUCCCUCUGAAAUUUCUCGUUUGAGGUGAAUUUUGCAUCAGCUGCGCGGGCUGCUGGUCUGUCAAUUUUCUUUUGUUUUGAUUCAGCUGUCAGUGCUUUUACAUUUUCUAGCGCCGCGAAAUUCCGAAAUUGUUUGUAGAAAAUGAUCCUCCGUUGAAAUAGUUGAAUUAUUAUGAAUAAACUUGAUCCUGAUAUAUUAACCUGCGGUCUGCCGGCGACAAGAUGGAAAACCCGGCGGCGGCGGCCACCGCAAUCAACAAGAAAACAUUCAAAAGUCAACAGAGAUACGCAAAAUGCGGAGACAGAUGAUCUAUACCUACUCAGGCGGUACCAGAAUGAUGGUGGUAAUCGGAGAAUCUUCCCCGUGUUUUAAAUAGAAAGGGACUGGAUUGCUUGUAAUACUUCGUACACCGAGUGGGAUUUUUCUCACUAGUGUACUCGAACAUAGAAAAAGGAGGAAACAGUGAAAAAGUUUACGGAAGCUACGCAGAUGCUGGAAGAGUCUGAAGUUCUGAUGGGACCUAUACUGUUGAAGGUUGGUGAGGUGCAGAUAUUGCCUAUUAGGCGGCACGAAUUGGCGAGGAAAGGCGGCCCUGGAGAAGCGGAUGCCGGGAAUGACCUAAACAAUGAUCUUUCGGGGGAUACCUGAUGCCAUGAAAGCGGUCAACUAGAAAGCCGAUAGCCCCCUUUAGAACGUAUGUAGAAAUGGCCAUAACGAUUACUAAAAAGUCGAGGUCAUCACGACCGAUGCCAGCCAAGUCUUUGAGACCACCUGUCUAAGGAUAGCUACUAGCGAAUAUUGUUCCGGGAGACCAAAAUUUAGAAAAAAAAUGAGUAGGCAAAUCAAGUUUUGUGUUUAAAGGUGGAAUAAAUGAGGUAUUUUACGAAAUACUCGAUAAUA